rnacentral:rRNA from 1 species
AUACCCUAUUAUUAAAGAGCUUAAUAUUGUGAGUAAAUAAAAUAAACGAAAACAAAAAAUUAUGGCGGUACUUUAAGCUUUUCAGAGGAAUUUGCUCUGUAAUGGAUAAAACACCUAAAUCUUACUAAAAUUUGUUAAGUCAGUUUGUAUACCACUAUUAAAGUAAUAUUUAAUUAUUAUUACUUUAAACUUUUUUUAAAAAAAAUUUAAGUCAUGGUGCAGCUGAAAUUUUAGAAUGAAGUGAAUUACAAUUCUUUUUAGAUAUUUUUGAAAUUAAAGCUAGAUUUAGGAUUUGAAAGUAAAAAUUCAAUAGUAUGGUUUUUUGAAUAAAGUUCUGAAGUAUGUACAUAUCGCCCGUCGCUCUUUCAUAAAGAUAA